rnacentral:rRNA from 1 species
AAACUUUCAGCAACGGAUCUCUUGGUUCAGGCAUCGAUGAAGAACG